CGGUUGAUCCUGCCGGAGGUUACUGCUAUCGGAGUUCGAUUAAGCCAUGCGAGUCUAAAGGUUUCUUCGGAAACCUUGGCGGACUGCUCAGUAACACGUGGAUAACCUACCCUUGGGACUGGAAUAACCCCGGGAAACUGGGGAUAAUACCGGAUAGAUCAGGGAUGCUGGAAUGCACCUUGAUCCAAAGCUCCGGCGCCCAAGGAUGGGUCUGCGGCCUAUCAGGUUGUAGUGGGUGUAACGUACCUACUAGCCGACGACGGGUACGGGUUGUGAGAGCAAGAGCCCGGAGAUGGAUUCUGAGACACGAAUCCAGGCCCUACGGGGUGCAGCAGGCGCGAAACCUUUACAAUGUGCGAAAGCAUGAUAAGGGAACUCCGAGUGCCAGUAUCUAAUACUGGCUGUCCUUGUGCCUAAACCGCACAAGAUAGCAAGGGCCGGGUAAGACCGGUGCCAGCCGCCGCGGUAACACCGGCGGCCCGAGUGGUAGCCGCUAUUAUUGGGUCUAAAGGGUCCGUAGCCGGUUCGAUAAGUCCUCUGGGAAAUCUGGUUGCUUAACAAUCAGACUGCCAAGGGAUACUGUCGAACUUGAGACCGGGAGAAGUAAGAGGUACUUCAGGGGUAGGAGUGAAAUCUUGUAAUCCCUGGGGGACCAUCUGUGGCGAAGGCGUCUUACCAGAACGGGUCUGACGGUGAGGGACGAAAGCUGGGGGCGCGAACCGGAUUAGAUACCCGGGUAGUCCCGGCUGUAAACGCUGCUCGCUGGUGUUAGGUACGGUCCGACCGUAUCUGGUGUCGGAGGGAAGCCGUUAAGCGAGCCACCUGGGAAGUACGGUCGCGAGACUGAAACUUAAAGGAAUUGGCGGGGGAGCAC
rnacentral:rRNA from 1 species